GGAAGCGUGAGGACAACGAGAGCGGCAGAACACCUGGCCAUCCCUCUCUCUCUCAUUCUCUUCUGCCCUCGUGCGUGCACCCGUAGAGAAACACGCAUUCACCCCAUCUGCUGAGGAGGACUGAAGUCGAGCAAGAUGCUCAGCAAGAAGCGCGACGAGUGGUCGCUCCCCUCCUGUCCCACACGCGCAGUGGCGCGAUCACGCUCUGCCCGACGCUCUCUCUUUGCCGCACGGCUCCACACCAAAGAACGUGCGUGCGCGUCUUUUCGUGCGCAUGUGCCCGAUGAAGAGAGAGUGAGUGAGGUGGCCUAUCUAGUGUAUGCGUGUGUCAUGUUGAUGGUGAAGCGUAGCUUCAACGACCGUGCUCCUUUUUUUUUAUUCGACCUCUUCCUUUCCCUCCCCACCGCGUUAUGCCACUCACUACGGGUUACCGUUGUUGCCCCCCCCCUCCCCCGCCCUUUUCCACUUCCACUCCCUCACUCGCCUCCUUGUUCUGUCUUGUCUUCCAUCACCCCUGCCAGCAAUGUAAAGCGAAAGAUGCGAUCGGAAUGGCAUGUCGCAGGUAUUCUUUUUGUUUGUUCUUCCUUCUCCCGUUUUGUGUCGUUGACAAGUCUCUACCCCCCCCUCCCCCCACACACACCGCCCCGCCCCGCUUUCGUGUCUUGCCCUCCUUUCCUUUUUUUUGUUUGUCUGUAUCGCUCUCAUAGUUGUAGGAUGCAGUUGCAUGAAGACCCACGCGGCAGAGAGGGACAAGAGAAAUAGAACGUUGAACGCGUACGUCCCGCUGUGUGUGUGUGCUGUUGCUGGCCAUGCAUACCUCCUUUUGGUCUGAAGAGAAGCAAAGAGAAGGCAGCAGCUAAAAGAAGGCGAGGCGCGAGUGAGUGAAAACGAAAAGGAGAUGAGGAGAAAAGGAUUUCAGGGUCAGUUCUGACCAGUGCGUAUGCGCCACCAGGGCUUCCACGCCUUGCUUCGCUCCCUUUUCUCUUGCACCUCAGAUCCUGUCAAUGACCAUAAGACGAACAACAACAAAAAAACAAUACGGCAGGGAAAAGAAACUCAUGAGGAAAGGGAAGGAGGAGCGUGAAGGUGAAGGCGCCGGGCAAGAAGAGAUUCUCAUACACACACAUACAUCUAAAUGUGCACGCAAAUUGUAGAGAAGAGAUUCCAGCAAGUCGAUGACGUACCUUGGAGCUGCGAGCUACGAGAUGCGAGAGAGAGAGAUGGCAGGUAAAGAGAGAUGGAUGUUAACCAUGACGUAGGUGUCUGUAUGCGUGUUUUGCGUUGCUGUUCCUCUAGGUGAGUAGGCAGGCGAAAGCUAACAAGGACAGAUGACACGAAGAAAAAAAAAGAUUCUUUUUUUUUGUUUUUGUUCAUCUUGGUUGCUUUUGUAUGCUCCUUUUUGUCCCCUGUCGUGUGUGUGAGAGAUAGAGAGAAGUUGAGCAUAGUGAACCGAGUCUGCGCCAAGCACGCGUUUAGGACUCGCUGUACGCGGUGUUGCGUACACGGGCCCGUCUAUGUGCGGGUUGGUGCUGAGACACACUGUCGCAAAGUAAAGUGUAACUAACACUGUCCAACAAGCAAAUCGUGAUCCCAAGAAUAAACAAAAUGAGCCGCACGCGCACACCGAUGCGCUUUCACCCGUCUCCUCGCACCUUCUUCAAGCUGCGUCUGUGUCUGUGUUUGUGCGAGUGUGUGCGUGUGCGGCUCAGGCUGUCCACUAAUAGGCGAUCCUUUCAUCCGAGUGGGACAAGCCCCUGAGAGGGCAGGGCAUGUGCAACUCUUUCUAUGACCCGCCCUCUUGGGUGCAGGAAAGGGACUGCAAGCAACGCAAAAGACGGACGGGACUCCAGGCGAGGCGAGCGGGAGGUAGGGAAGGCCUCUCAUCUUUGUCCGCAAGUGGCUCUACCGCUGCCUCUCUUCCCCUCUCCUUACCGCUCGUUUUGCGUUUGGGUGGCUGCUUUCAUUUCUCUCCGCUCACCAUGGAAAGAAGCUCCUGCUUUUGCGCCACUCUGCCUGCUGGUGUCUCUUCCGUCUCUCAGCGGCCACGCCUUUUUCUCUUCUUCCUUUUCCUUCCUUCUUUGCGUUCCUCGCUGUCGGUGGCCACAAAAUCGAACUGGAG
rnacentral:misc_RNA from 1 species